AUUCUACUCCCUCCGUUGCACAAUACAUGCCUUCUAUUUGUCAAAAUAUAUAUGUAUCUAGACAUAUUUUAGUAUAUAGGUACAUCCAUUUUUGGACAAAUGGAAGUCAAGUAUUUUGGAACGGAGGGAGUACACA
rnacentral:pre_miRNA from 1 species